rnacentral:rRNA from 1 species
GUUCCGACCCGCACGAAAGGCGUAACGAUUUGGGCACUGUCUCAACGAGAGACUCGGUGAAAUCAUAGUACCUGUGAAGAUGCAGGUUACCCGCGACAGGACGGAAAGACCCCGUGGAGCUUUACUGUAGCCUGAUAUUGAAAUUCGGCACAGCUUGUACAGGAUAGGUAGGAGCCUUUGAAACGUGAGCGCUAGCUUACGUGGAGGCGCUGGUGGGAUACUACCCUAGCUGUGUUGGCUUUCUAACCCGCACCACUUAUCGUGGUGGGAGACAGUGUCAGGCGGGCAGUUUGACUGGGGCGGUCGCCUCCUAAAAGGUAACGGAGGCGCUCAAAGGUUCCCUCAGAAUGGUUGGAAAUCAUUCAUAGAGUGUAAAGGCAUAAGGGAGCUUGACUGCGAGACCUACAAGUCGAGCAGGGUCGAAAGACGGACUUAGUGAUCCGGUGGUUCCGCAUGGAAGGGCCAUCGCUCAACGGAUAAAAGCUACCCCGGGGAUAACAGGCUUAUCUCCCCCAAGAGUUCACAUCGACGGGGAGGUUUGGCACCUCGAUGUCGGCUCAUCGCAUCCUGGGGCUGUAGUCGGUCCCAAGGGUUGGGCUGUUCGCCCAUUAAAGCGGUACGCGAGCUGGGUUCAGAACGUCGUGAGACAGUUCGGUCCCUAUCCGUCGUGGGCGUAGGAAAUUUGAGAGGAGCUGUCCUUAGUACGAGAGGACCGGGAUGGACAUACCUCUGGUGUACCAGUUGUCGUGCCAACGGCAUAGCUGGGUAGCUAUGUGUGGACGGGAUAAGUGCUGAAAGCAUCUAAGCAUGAAGCCCCCCUCAAGAUGAGAUUUCCCAACUUCGGUUAUAAGAUCCCUCAAAGAUGAUGAGGUUAAUAGGUUCGAGGUGGAAGCAUGGUGACAUGUGGAGCUGACGAAUACUAA